CCCGCCCCACCUCGGGCCCCGGGAGCCUACGUCUCGUGACCUUCCCCUCCCCCCAGCUCGCGCGGCCCGGGAAGCCUCUCCCUCCCCCACCCGUAGUUCGCCCCGCCCCGGAAGCUCCCGCUGACCCCGCCCAGGCCCGUGGAUGGGGCCCCCUGUCGUCGGGCCUUCCUGUAGGGCUUUGCCGACCGAAGGCUGUCGGAUCGGCGGUUGGAGGCCGAGCGAACCCCUUCACGUCCCAGUGCCCCCGCCAGGAGCCUAGCGUCCGGGACUGAUACCGCGCUUCCCGCCGAAAUCGCUCAGACGCGCCCCUGGCGGCCCGCGGCCGCGAGCUUGAGAGCGCACUUUGAAGCCUGGUACGAAGCGUUUUCCCCCAGCCAGUUGAGUUUCAAUUUCAGGUUGAUAACAAAAGGAGGUGCACCUGGCCUUUCCGCGGAAUCUUCUGCGUUUUAAGCUUCGGGUGGAGUUGGGGGUCCUUUGGCUGUAAACUGCGCUUGCUGGUUGAAAAUAGAAAUCGGUCCUGCUCUCUUCAGCGACCUCCAGGGAUGUUUGCAAAUUGUAAAUACUGUUAGGCCAGUUUAUAGCAAACUACUUUUGCCUGGAGCACGUCUCUGUGAAUACGGCCUGGUCUCCAGUGCCGAUCAGCGGUGCAACUCCUCUCCCCCCUGCUCGGCCUGCCUUCUGCUUCCGGGAACCGCUCCUCGACCCAGCCCCGCCCAAAAGGACGAUUCGUUACCUACCUGGAGUGUCUUUUGACUGUGGGCAUCCCCCGGUGUUCUUUAAGCCACAAAAGCUGCACCCAAGCUUGUUUGAC
rnacentral:lncRNA from 1 species